rnacentral:rRNA from 1 species
GUCCCAGCUGUAAACGAUGAUGACUAGAUGUGGGAGGUAUCGACCCCUUCCGCGUCGCAGCUAACGCGUUAAGUCAUCCGCCUGGGGAGUACGGCCGCAAGGUUAAAACUCAAAGGAAUUGACGGGGGCCCGCACAAGCGGUGGAGCAUGUGGUUUAAUUCGACGCUACGCGAAGAACCUUACCUGGGCUCGAACGACUGGUAGUAGUCCCGAUGAAAGUUGGGGCGACCCGCAAGGGAGCCAGCCGAGGUGCUGCAUGGCUGUCGU